AAGUGAGAAUGCCGGUGUGAGUAGCGAAAGACGGGUGAGAAUCCCGUCCACCGAUUGACUAAGGUUUCCAGAGGAAGGCUCGUCCGCUCUGGGUUAGUCGGGUCCUAAGCUGAGGCCGACAGGCGUAGGCGAUGGAUAACAGGUUGAUAUUCCUGUACCACCUAUAAUCGUUUUAAUCGAUGGGGGGACGCAGUAGGAUAGGCGAAGCGUGCGAUUGGAUUGCACGUCUAAGCAGUAAGGCUGAGUAUUAGGCAAAUCCGGUACUCGUUAAGGCUGAGCUGUGAUGGGGAGAAGACAUUGUGUCUUCGAGUCGUUGAUUUCACACUGCCGAGAAAAGCCUCUAGAUAGAAAAUAGGUGCCCGUACCGCAAACCGACACAGGUAGUCAAGAUGAGAAUUCUAAGGUGAGCGAGCGAACUCUCGUUAAGGAACUCGGCAAAAUGACCCCGUAACUUCGGGAGAAGGGGUGCUCUUUAGGGUUAACGCCCAGAAGAGCCGCAGUGAAUAGGCCCAAGCGACUGUUUAUCAAAAACACAGGUCUCUGCUAAACCGUAAGGUGA
rnacentral:rRNA from 1 species